GUGGGGAAUCUUGCGCAAUGGGGGAAACCCUGACGCAGCGACGCCGCGUGCGGGAUGAAGGCCUUCGGGUUGUAAACCGCUUUCAGCAGGGACGAAAUUGACGGUACCUGCAGAAGAAGGCCCGGCCAACUACGUGCCAGCAGCCGCGGUAAUACGUAGGGGCCUAGCGUUGUCCGGAAUUAUUGGGCGUAAAGAGCUCGUAGGCGGUUCGGCAAGUCGGAUGUGAAAUCUCCACGCUUAACGUGGAGGGGCCAUUCGAAACUGCUGUGACUCGAGUCCGGUAGGGGAGUGUGGAAUUCCCGGUGUAGCGGUGAAAUGCGCAGAUAUCGGGAGGAACACCAGUAGCGAAGGCGGCACUCUGGGCCGGUACUGACGCUGAGGAGCGAAAGCGUGGGGAGCGAACAGGAUUAGAUACCCUUGUAGUCC
rnacentral:rRNA from 1 species